GGUCGGGGUGCUGCAGGUUUUCCCCCUAGAGACUAAUGGCUUGGGGGGCCGGGUGCUGCAGGUUUUCCCCCUCACUAGAGACUAAUGGCUUGGGGGGGUCGGGUGCUGCAGGUUUUCCCCCUCACUAGAGACUAAUGGCUUGGGGGGUCGGGGUGCUGCAGGUUUUCCCCCUAGAGACUAAUGGCUUGGGGGGUCGGGUGCUGCAGGUUUUCCCCCUCACUGGAGACUAAUGGCUUGGGGGGUCAGGGUGCUGCAGGUUUUCCCCCUCACUAGAGACUAAUGGCUUGGGGGGUCAGGGUGCUGCAGGUUUUCCCCCUCACUGGAGACUAAUGGCUUGGGGGGUCGUGUGCUGCAGGUUUUCCCCCUCACUAGAGACUAAUGGCUUGGGGGGUCGGGUGCUGCAGGUUUUCCCCCUAGAGACUAAUGGCUUGGGGGGGUCGGGGUGCUGCAGGUUUUCCCCCUAGAGACUAAUGGCUUGCUAGUACAGGACUGGUAAAUGCUGUGACUGGUGACAUUUUUUACUAAAUGUAUUUUGAGUGUUCAUUUGUAACUUGAGUCUGAUUUAAUUAUCUGUACAAAACAGUUGAUCUGAUAAUACCUGUGGAAUAUAAAAAUACUUGCUUGAUAUGUUUUCCAGUUUCUUAAAAUGAAACUUCUUUCUCAAUAAAAACUCAAAUGGUUCAUUUCAUUUACAGCAGCUACU